rnacentral:rRNA from 1 species
AUUGAACGCUGGCGGCAGGCCUAACACAUGCAAGUCGAGCGCGCGGCGGACGGGUGUGUAAUGUCUGGGAAACUGCCUGUUGGGGGGGGAUAACUACUGGAAACGGUAGCUAAUACCGCAUACCAUCUGAUUUGCCCCGAUGGGAUUAGCUAGUAGGUGGGGUAAUGGCUCACCUAGGCGACGAUCCCUAGCUGGUCUGAGAGGAUGACCAGCCACACUGGAACUGAGACACGGUCCAGACUCCUACGGGAGGCAGCAGUGGGGAAUAUUGCACAAUGGGCGCAAGCCUGAUGCAGCCAUGCCGCGUGUGUGAAGAAGGCCUUCGGGUUGUAAAGCACUUUCAGCGGGGAGGCGUUACCCGCAGAAGAAGCACCGGCUAACUCCGUGCCAGCAGCCGCGGUAAUUC